rnacentral:rRNA from 1 species
GAUGAACGCUGGCGGCGUGCCUAAUACAUGCAAGUCGAGCGAACAGACGAGGAGCUUGCUCCUCUGACGUUAGCGGCGGACGGGUGAGUAACACGUGGAUAACCUACCUAUAAGACUGGGAUAACUUCGGGAAACCGGAGCUAAUACCGGAUAAUAUAUUGAACCGCAUGGUUCAAUAGUGAAAGACGGUUUUGCUGUCACUUAUAGAUGGAUCCGCGCCGCAUUAGCUAGUUGGUAUGGUAACGGCUUACCAAGGCAACGAUGCGUAGCCGACCUGAGAGGGUGAUCGGCCACACUGGAACUGAGACACGGUCCAGACUCCUACGGGAGGCAGCAGUAGGGAAUCUUCCGCAAUGGGCGAAAGCCUGACGGAGCAACGCCGCGUGAGUGAUGAAGGUCUUCGGAUCGUAAAACUCUGUUAUUAGGGAAGAACAAAUGUGUAAGUAACUAUGCACGUCUUGACAGUACCUAAUCAGAAAGCCACGGCUAACUACGUG